CCUUUUUGUUGGGGGAGUAACGUAGGGAAACUUGCGCUAAUACCGCAUACGACCUACGGUGAAGCCGGGACCUUCGGGCCUGGCGCAGAGAGAUGAGCCGAUGCCGGAUUAGCUAGUUGGCGGGGUAAAGGCCCACCAAGGCGACGAUCCGUAGCUGGUCUGAGAGGAUGAUCAGCCACACUGGGACUGAGACACGGCCCAG
rnacentral:rRNA from 1 species